CUGACCUCAAAUCAGGUAGACUAC
rnacentral:rRNA from 1 species